UCAGGAUGAACGCUGGCGGCGUGCCUAACACAUGCAAGUCGAGCGGAGAUAAGUGAAGCCUAGCGAUUCUUAUCUUAGCGGCGGAUGGGUGAGUAACACGUGGGUAACCUGCCCUGUACUGGGGAAUAACAGCUGGAAACGGCUGUUAAUGCCGCAUAUGCGCACGGAGCCGCAUGGCUUUGGGCGGAAAGAUUUAUCGGUACAGGAUGGGCCCGCGCCGGAUUAACUAGUUGGCGGGGUAACGGCCCACCAAGGUGAUGAUCCGUAGCCGACCUGAGAGGGUGACCGGCCACAUUGGGACUGAGACACGGCCCAAACUCCUACGGGAGGCAGCAGUGGGGGAUAUUGCACAAUGGGGGAAACCCUGAUGCAGCGACGCCGCGUGAAGGAUGACGUAUUUCGGUAUGUAAACUUCUAUCAGCGGGGAAGAAGAUGACGGUACCCGACUAAGAAGCCCCGGCUAACUACGUGCCAGCCGCAGC
rnacentral:rRNA from 1 species